UGCCCGCGGUGAAGCCAGAGAGGGUUAGGAGACGCUAGCUAAGGCCGGGGAUGUAGGAGUGAGGACUGAUUGUCGCUUCCCAGUCAGGGGGUUUUCCUCGUAAGCUGCUGUGGAGGCAGCGUUGGAUCGGGUACUUCACCGGCCAGCGGGCCGGUCAGCGGGCCGGUCAGCGGUUGAGACCACACAAGAGUCUCUUCGUUACACUAUUCUAACGCUUAGAGAUACGGCUCGAAUGCAUAACUUAGUUUAGUCUCCCUAAUGUGGGCUACGUUGUGAGACGUUAGCAAAAGUUCACUUGAAUGCCGCCGUUUUGAACACAUUUGCGCCGCAUGUUAAGCAGAAUUAAUAGCAGUUUAGCUCGCCGUAUGUGGCAACAACAAUCCUUCAACAAUCGUUAAUGUUUUGUUAAAUGCACAUGCAGAGGCAGUGGUUUCAUUCGGGCAAAGAAAAAGCUGCCUGCGGUGAAAAAUGGAGCAACAAGGCUGACCGUGACAUCGGGAGAGCUGAGGCAGAUCAUCUUAAACAUGAUGCACCUGGACGGUCCGGUGGCGGAGACUUCAAGAAUUAAAUAAAAUUACAAUGAAAUGGAUAA